rnacentral:lncRNA from 1 species
GGGACUGCGGCUGGAGAGGGGCGGGCAACGGGCGCGCGCUUGCGCCAAACUGGGCAAUGUCCAUGAGGUCGGGCUGGCCGAGCAGGCUCGCCGCGGUGCCGCUCAACUGGCCGGCGCUGAUGGGCUGCUGGCGCUGCGAACCGGGGCGCGACCUGGCGAUGUUCAUGGCGCGCACGCCGCCCUGGGCCUGACCCUGGCUGCCCUGCACGUACUGGGCCCAUGCGUUGGAAAGCUGUUGACCUCUAGGCGCCUGUGACUGAGCGGCCUGCACAAAGACGGCCUGCUGGGAGCGCGUCGAGGGCGACUGGGUGCUGAGCGGGUUCUGCUGGUUGUACUGGUUGCGGGUCUGCAUCAGCUGGUUGAGGUUGGCGGCGCCGGCGAGGUUGUACGACUGAUCGGGGUUGAGGGGCGCCUGAUUCAUGGGCUGCCUGCGCUCGCCGGGCACACUGACGCCGACGAAUCCGCUGUUGAUGGGGGCCAGGGCGGCGGCGCCGAGCGCGGGCUGGCGCAUGGCCUGAGCGGCAGACAGGCCGAAACCGGCGU